rnacentral:lncRNA from 1 species
GAUCACUUCAUUCGCAUUUUCUUUAUUCAUUAUUGAGUCCAAAUCACAAGAUGGAGAAAAGCAAAUGAAAAUAAGCUAAAAACUGAAUUGAUUUAAUUGUAAACUUUAAGCAUAAACAAUGUGUAUCAACAGUGUGAUUCAACCGAAGCCAAAACAAGUUGAGGUUCUUCCAUUGCAGAAUCGCAUGUUCCAUCAAUUGCAUUGUUCUUCCCCAAUACCUUCAAUGCUAAAUGAGCUGCCUUCUGCCCUGAUAUCAUCAUAGCUCCAAAUGUUGGACCCUACAAAAAUCACCAACAAAAGCGUGAUCACAUCUUAAUCAAAUGUUUCUUACCAUCUUCAAGUUAAUUGCACUAAAAUCAAUUAAUUUGCACUUGAAAAGAUCUAAAAAAAACCUGAUAUUAAUUUUCACAUUACUUUAAUCACUUCUUAAAUCAAAGAAGGUUCAAGAAACAACGAGCAACAACAUGUGAAGAGGUAAAAAAAAGGGUUGGAAAGAACAAGAUCAGCUACUAUUAGAAUUAGACAAAUGAUUAACGUGCCAAUUUGUACACAGAUGAAGAGCAGUGUCUUCCCUCCUCUUUUUUCACUUAAGAAAGGAAAAUUAGAGAGGUAAAUUAAAUUUCAAAGAUUAUUAUGGAAGCUCAAGCUUAUAAUUUAGUUUGAUGAAUAAGUUUGUUUGUUUUAUUUCUUUUAUUGGUUGGUUAUUAUUAUUAUUCCAACAAACUAUGUGUUGUUGCCUUUGGUGUAGAAUAGGUGUUAAUUUGGAUGGAUCUGAGAAAAUUAUUACAAUGUAAAUCCUGACUUGUAUAAUCAUUGGAUUGUGCAUGCAUUGCAUUGGAGUUGGCAUCAUCACUAAAGCCAAAAAUAUGUUUCUGCUUUGUCUGAAUAGCUGACCAAGAAGGAGGAGAUAUUUCACAUGAUAGAUGCAGAGUUGUUCUGCAUGUGAGUCCCACAUGAGCAUCUAACAUCCACAAACAUUUGAAUCAGAGGAUGCUAUAUCAAUUAUUAUCAAAUUAAUAUCUGUGAGUUUGUAAGAUUUUUCUAGGAAAACAUAAUAUAAAGACCAUAAUUUGAGUGUAUGCCUUUUGCCUUGCCCAAGUAAAUAUUUUUUUAAGAUGCCAAUUGCCAAGCAUUUGAUUUGAAACACAAAAGUUAUUAGUCAUGUGACAAGUUUAUUUUAUAUUAGCGGUGUAAAUAAUAAUAAUUUGUCCAUUCUUUUGGUCAUAUUUACGAGAAAAAAUAGAUCGAAUAAAAUUGAUGUAUUUAAUCUAAAAUUUGAAGAGAGUAUAUUUUUGUUGAGAUUUUUUUUAGAAGUUGAAUCUUGAGACUCACAGGUUAUAGUUGAGAGUUUCUUUGUGACUAUAACUAAUAGUAUAGGAUUGAAAGAAGUUUGAUACAUUAAUAUCAUAACAAAGUUUCAAGAAUAAAAGAAGCUAAUGAUUGGGAAGUAUGAAACACUAAAUUAGAAUCAACCUUUGUAUAGCACAAAGGGUUCGUUUUAGGGAUGGGGCAUAUAAACUAGGUGUGUUGAUAUUUAAAAUUAUGAUCAUUGGGAUGUGACUUAGCAAGGAAUAUUUUUGCCAAUCACUUUCAAUGACUUAUCUUUAAUCGCGAUUGGAAAUUAAAUCAUGUACAAAGACAUGUUUAGUCUGUCAGUUAUUUCAAUAGAUUAGACUCUACACCUGCAUAUACUUUAAUUUUUGUCAUAUUCCAUUCAAUACUCUCCGCUUCUUUUCCCUGUCAAUUUGAGGGUAUGGAAUGGAGUGGGAUUUCCCUAUUUUUUUUCUCUUUAAUUCUCCUCUUUAUUAUUAUAGUUUUGAGUUAUUUAAAGUUACCUAAUAUCACAUUAGCCGUUGCACUGUGUAGAAGUAGCAGGGGGUCCAUUUUCGAAAAUGGAGAGCAUAAAAAGUGAAAGAGGAUACAUUUCCGUGGAAUGUAAUCCAUACACUUUGCAUUCCAUUAUAAAAUUAUUCAAUACAAUGAUAGUUUUUUAUUCAAUUAUACUUCUUCUAUUCCAUUCCAUUUCAAUCUGAUAUUAAUAAACCUGAGUUUUCUAGCAUGAGACCGUUAUAAGUUUUUUCUUUUUUAAAAUACAUGUAGUACACUAAAACCAGAAUAUAAAACGAGUAUGAAAAACAAAAAACACCAAAAAGGCAUGAACUUUUUUAAUAAAAUAAUAAAUAAUGCCUAUACAAUGAUAACAGAACAUUCUAACUUUCAAGGAACUGAGAAUCAAAGUUGAAUGAAUCUGUUCCACCAAUCAGAAAGUACACUCCAAGUCAAAACAAUAAAUCUAUAUGCUCUUAUCAAGAGAAGGUUGAGUUGAAGUUCGACCUUCGGUUUUCGAGUUGAAAAUGAAGAAUUUCCACCAAAAUCAGAAUAAUCCAAGCACGCAAAAAAUCUUGACAAAAGGAAAGUCUUUAUCUCAAGGUGCUGGAGGUGACAAGAAACUAUUGCCGGAAGUUCUGUUGAUAAAUAUAUGCUUAAUAAGUCAGAAAACCAACAAUGGUAGAACUCAUGAUGUCAAGGAUAAAAUGUUUACUUAUUUACCUGAUGAUAAGUCCUGGUUUUCCAAUAAGAUUUGCUGGAAUUUGACCAGUCAAAUUGUUAUUUUGUAAAAAUCUGCUUACAACAAAGGAAGAGAAGAAAUUUAUGAGAACUGAAGGGUAACUAGCUGAUCUUCCACACACACUGGUAUUGCAGUGCAUUUACUGCCUCGUUUGAAGAUGUUGUCAUUCUAUUUUCAGGAAGUAAUCAAGAGAAAUAAUACUUAACCAACUAGAAGAAGCUUAUCUUUUAUUGACAAAUUUAUUAGAUUGAUUGGCAUCAAAGUAUGCAACAACUGAACAAUCAAUUCUCUUAUUUUUUCAAUAUUAUGCAUGUUUGGCUCUGAUGCUCCGUAAUCUAAACAAGUAUGGUAAGAUAAUAAGCAUGUAUUACUCAUAUAAUGAUACAACACAUAAGUAGAACUUACAUUUCUUUUAAGCUGCCAAUGUUCCCUAGGGAUGAUGAAAUCAAGAUCUUCUUGUUAGAGAGCUUGCUCAUCAGGAAAAAUGGAAAAGGUGUCCCAAAUGCAAAUUCUAUAUCAAAAAAUUUGAAGGCUGUUUGCAUAUCACAUGCAGUUAGUGAGUCGCAUUAUUAUGUUUUUAUACUGAUAUUAGGCGGCGUAAGUCAUCUUUGCAAAAUGAAACAGGAAGGAUGAGGGACCACUCUUUCAUAAGUGGUGCUCGAUAGAUGGGUUUUCAUAUGUUUUUAUAUAGAACUUAGAUCAUUCGAACAAAACUAGCUGCUAAAGCGAAGGGUUUAAGUUUUUGAGUCUAGUGAGUUUGCGAUAUCACUGUAAAACUACAUUGUGCUAACAUCCAACAACCACCCUUUAUUUUGGUAGUGUAAAAAUUCCAUGAUAUUUUAAAAUUAAUGGCUCUUAUUUACUGGUAGUGUAAAUUAAUGGCUCUUACAUCCACGAUCUAUUUUCUUUAGGUUUUUAUUUAUUAUUUUUGGAAAAGAAGAAAACCAUAUCAGGUAAGUCAGUUUUCUUCACAACUAUACAACUCUUUGUUUGGAAACAUAAGAAAAGGGAAGAAAAAAAUUGUUUGCAUUUUAAACAUGAUCAUGCAGUUUUUGAGUUUAUCAUCAAAAGGGUAAUUAUGUGUAAAAAAAAAUAGUGUAAAUUGUUUUUUUUUUUACUUGAAUUGUGAAUAAGAAUAAGCCGGUGGUGUUUAUUUGCAGGUGCCGAUUCGAAUUUUGCUAUGCUUGCGGUGAAAAAUGGACAUCUAACCAUAGUGAUUGCCAACGAAGCUAGAUAGAUUUGACAGGUUUAAUAAAGAAUGAUAGUGUAUAUGGAUAUCACUAUUAUUUCUGAUUUUCAUAAAGUAGGUAGUUUGUUGGUCGUCUUGACGUGGAUAUCACGAUUAUUAGCUAGUUUAGUAUGACGUUUUUUUUUAUGCUUGUAAGAAAAAAAUGUUGCAUGGUCCUUUUGAAAGUAUACAUGCUAAGUUGCUAUUGCUUAACAUGAAUCAUGCAUGUCUUGAUCUUACUCCUGUUCUUAUGUUUAUGUUGGUCUUACACUAUUCUUCUACCCAGUUGUUCACAUUAGAAUAAUCUUCUCGAGUUCUAACAUUUCCUUCUGUUAUUAAGAAUUGUAACAAAACCAGCAGUGACGCUAUAAUUGUCAGGCUGCAACUGGGCGUUAAGUUUCGCGCCUUUGCACUAAUGCACUGUCAAUUGGCAUAUCAUUAUGUGAUUUCCUGUCAAAUAAAUUUUCCGAAAUUUCUACUUAGUUUUGUUUUUUUUAUAAAAAGGAUCGGAUGCCAACUAGUAAUGUUUUGUGGCCGCCAUUUUUAGAGGAUGCCAUGAUAGGUCAUCACUCAAAUUAAGUGUUUCAAUAUAUUUCAGUUAUCUUAAUUUUAGUUUUGAUGAAAUAAUCGAUAUGGCACCGUAGAAGCUUUGACUCAUUACCUCUAGAAAAGGCUUUUGAACUGUGCAAAACUUUGCUGAAUACUGCCCCCUAUGCAAAACUGUGCUGAAUCAAUCAAUUAGCUAUGCUACUCCACUAUGACACCACUUGGAGUAUAAAACAAAAGAGACAUGUGUCCCAAUGUUGACGCCCAUGUGAAUGAUUUAAAUGUAAAAUUUUGUCUUAAACUUGAGUUUUCAACUCUAAAAAUUCAAUCAUUGUGUUUUCAAUAAAAAAAAUGUGCCCUUAAGACCCAUGUUAUGGCCCAAAACAAAAUGCUCUUAGUACUAGUUUCUUUUGGAUUACCCCAUCAGAGGUCAAAGCAUAACACCCCUUUAUUUCUAUUACAAUUUCUAUUCUCUUUAUUAAGCAUUCCUCACAUCAACUUUGAAAUGUACGACAAUAACAAUUACAAAGGCGACUAUAUUUUUUAAGGGGUCUCUUCCAAUAUUAAUCAAAUCAUGAUGCCUCAACAAAACAAUGGUGUCAGAGUUAUAACGGCUGGCAGAUGCAGAUGCAGCCGCAGAACUCUUUAGUUAUAACAAAGAUUUUCGGAAAAUAACACGUUUUGACAAAACUAUUUAGAGACAACAAAAUUAGGAUAUUCUAAGGGACUGUUUGUUCAACGGAGGGAGGCGGGAUUUUAAAAUCUUUUGUCUUUGGUUUAACGAGGGGAGGGAAGAGAUCUUAAUAGAGGGAUAGUGUAAAAUUACAUAUUCAACCAUUGUAAUAUUUAAGAUCACAUUAAAUAAAAGCCUACUUAAAUCCAAAUAUGAUAUAAAUACUUUCUCCCCUCUAGAUCCCCCCACUCUUGGAGGGGAGCUAAAAUUGGGAUUUGGCUCCCCUCCCCUCCCAACCAAACACAAUUGCAAGUAGUAAGCAACUCUGGACAUGGUUAUUUUUGGUCAACAGAAUUCUCUCCUCCAGAAGUGCUAAGUGGAUCAAAUUUUGGUCAGGAUAAGCAACUUAAUAGAGAUCUAUGGGUUUAACAAAACCCACUUGAUUUUCUCAUUCAUAGCUACACCCCAAACAUCGGACAAAUGGCUUUAUCUCUCUUGGACUUGCACAAAAAAACAAGUCUCUACAUAACCAGUUUUAAGGGCGCAACUUAAUACAUAACAAUCAACUUAACAGCAUAAAUUUCAGAAAUAAAAAUGACUGCAACACGAUCCAACUAACAUUACACUAACCAUAACAAGUCCAAACAAAAUGUACUCUAUUAUAAAAAUUCUUCAAUACUCAAAUUCCAGCUCAAAUCUGUGCCACUGCCACAAAAGGGCAAUGCCAAGCUACAUAUAAUCUCUGGCAAAAGUUCUAGCAUAACAUAAAACAUCCUUUUCUGUAAGAUUUAAAAUUACGGAAUGGAAAGAGUUUAACAAACCUCAAAAUUCAGUUCCAGCUAGAAGGACAAUACCCAUGAAUCCCAUAACCAGUCUUCCAAUUAUUCAAAUAAACAACCUAUUCAAAUAUACAACCCAUCACUUCAUUCGCAUUUUCUUUAUUCAUUAUUGAGUCCAAAUCACAGGCAGAAGAAAAGCAAAUGGAAAAUAAGCUAAAAACUAAAUCGAUUUAACUGGAAACUUUAAGCAUCAACAGUGUCCUCUAAUUCAACAGAAGCCAAAACAAGCUCAGGUUCUUCCCUUGCAGAAUCGCAUGUUCCAUCAAUUGCAUUGUUCCUCCCCAAUGCCUUCAAUGCCAAAUGAGCUGCCUUCUGCCCUGAUAUCAUCAUAGCUCCAAAUGUUGGACCCUACAAAAAUCAUCAACAAAAUCGUUAUCACAUCUUAGUCAAAUGUUUCUUACCAUUUUCAAAUUAAUUGCACUAAAACCAAUCAACUUGCAGUUGAAAAUAUAUAAAAAAAACCCUGAUCUUAAUUUCCACAUUACUUUAAUCACUACCUAAAUCAGAAUUGUACAAACAAGUCUAUAAACAAAAUAUUCUUCUCUUUGGUAGAUUAUAAACAAAAAUUCUUGUUCCUGCACAACAUUAACUCAAUAUAUUAUUACACAAAAUUGUCCAAGCCUACAUUAUUUACGCACACAUUAACUCCUAGAAUCAUGUUUUGUUAAAUCAAACAUGAUUUAACCAUAAAUUGUUGUUAAAUUUGACUCCAACUUUAGAAUUGAUUCCAAUCAC